rnacentral:rRNA from 1 species
UGGGGAAUAUAGCACAAUGGGGGAAACCCUGAUGCAGCGACGCCGCGUGAACGAAGAAGGUAUUCGUAUCGUAAAGUUCUGUCCUAUGGGAAGAUAAUGACAGUACCAUAGAAGAAAGCUCCGGCUAAAUACGUGCCAGCAGCCGCGGUAAUACGUAUGGAGCGAGCGUUGUCCGGAAUUAUUGGGCGUAAAGGGUACGCAGGCGGUUUAAUAAGUCGAAUGUUAAAGAUCGGGGCUCAACCCCGCAAAGCAUUGGAAACUGAUAAACUUGAGUAGUGGAGAGGAAAGUGGAAUUCCUAGUGUAGUGGUGAAAUACGUAGAUAUUAGGAGGAAUACCAGUAGCGAAGGCGACUUUCUGGACACAAACUGACGCUGAGGUACGAAAGCGUGGGGAGCAAACAGG